UCGAGAAUUUUUCUCAAUGGGGGAAACCCUGAAGGAGCGACGCCGCGUGGAGGAUGAAGGUCUUCGGAUUGUAAACUCCUGUCAUGAGGGAGUAAGACAUCGCGUUAACUGCGUGGGUGUUUGAUAGUACCUCAAGAGGAAGAGACGGCUAACUCUGUGCCAGCAGCCGCGGUAAUACAGAGGUCUCGAGCGUUGUUCGGAUUCAUUGGGCGUAAAGGGUGCGUAGGCGGUUGGGUAAGUCAGACGUGAAAUUCCAGGGCUCAACCCUGAAACUGCGUUUGAUACUGCCUGACUAGAGUACUGGAGAGGAGACUGGAAUUCACGGUGUAGCAGUGAAAUGCGUAGAUAUCGUGAGGAAGACCAGUGGCGAAGGCGAGUCUCUGGACAGUAACUGACGCUGAGGCACGAAGGCUAGGGGAGCAAACGGG
rnacentral:rRNA from 1 species